rnacentral:rRNA from 1 species
AUUGAACGCUGGCGGCAGGCCUAACACAUGCAAGUCGAGCGGAAACGAGUUAUCUGAACCUUCGGGGAACGAUAACGGCGUCGAGCGGCGGACGGGUGAGUAAUGCCUAGGAAAUUGCCUUGAUGUGGGGGAUAACCAUUGGAAACGAUGGCUAAUACCGCAUAAUGCCUACGGGCCAAAGAGGGGGACCUUCGGGCCUCUCGCGUCAAGAUAUGCCUAGGUGGGAUUAGCUGGUUGGUGAGGUAAUGGCUCACCAAGGCGACGAUCCCUAGCUGGUCUGAGAGGAUGAUCAGCCACACUGGAACUGAGACACGGUCCAGACUCCUACGGGAGGCAGCAGUGGGGAAUAUUGCACAAUGGGCGAAAGCCUGAUGCANCCAUGCCGCGUGUAUGAAGAAGGCCUUCGGGUUGUAAAGUACUUUCAGUUGUGAGGAAGGGGGUGUCGUUAAUAGCGGCAUCUCUUGACGUUAGCAACAGAAGAAGCACCGGCUAACUCCGUGCCAGCAGCCGCGGUAAUACGGAGGGUGCGAGCGUUAAUCGGAAUUACUGGGCGUAAAGCGCAUGCAGGUGGUUCAUUAAGUCAGAUGUGAAAGCCCGGGGCUCAACCUCGGAACUGCAUUUGAAACUGGUGAACUAGAGUACUGUAGAGGGGGGUAGAAUUUC